AUACGGGCGGACUCUUUUGCAGGGGGCCGCUAAUUGAAUGAGUUAACUCUAAAUUCCUUAAAACUAGCGGAUCAAUUGGAGGGCAAAUCUGGUGCCAGCAGCCGCGGUAAUUCCAGCUCCAAUAGCGUAUACUAAAGCUGCUGCGGUUAAAAAGCUCGUAGAAAGCACUUGGAUCUCAGUUCCGCACGAGUAGUGCAUCUACCCGAUGCGACGGCUCGGACUGAACAUCAUGCCGGUUCUUUCUUGGUGCACUUCAUUGUGUGCCUCGAGACGGCCGGUGCUUUUACUUUGAAAAAAUUAGAGUGCUCAAGAACGCAGGGAGUCGCCUGAAUAAACUUGCAUGGAAUAAUAGAAGAAGACCUCGUUUCUGUUCUGUUGGUUUUUGGAAUACGAGGUAAUGAUUAAGAGGGACGGACGGGGGCAUUCGUAUUGCGGCGCUAGAGGUGAAAUUCUUGGACCGUCGCAAGACGAACUACUGCGAAAGCAUUUGCCAAGAAUGUUUUCAUUGAUCAAGAACGAAAGUCAGAGGUUCGAAGGCGAUCAGAUACCGCCCUAGUUCUGACCAUAAACGAUGCCAACCAGCGAUCCGCCUGAGUUACUCAAAUGACUCGGCGGGCAGCUUCCGGGAAACCAAAGUAUUUGGGUUCCGGGGGAAGUAUGGUUGCAAAGCUGAAACUUAAAGGAAUUGACGGAAGGGCACCACCAGGAGUGGAGCCUGCGGCUUAAUUUGACUCAACACGGGAAAACUUACCCGGCCCGGACACUGGGAGGAUUGACAGAUUGAGAGCUCUUUCUUGAUUCGGUGGAUGGUGGUGCAUGGCCGUUCUUAGUUGGUGGCGCGAUUUGUCUGGUUAAUUCCGAUAACGAACGAGACUCUAGCCUAUUAAAUAGGUGCGGGGUUCCCAGCACCUUACAACCUUCUUAGAGGGACAAGCGGCUCCUAGCCGCACGAAACAGAGCAAUAACAGGUCUGUGAUGCCCUUAGAUGUCCGGGGCCGCACGCGCGCUACACUGAAGGAAGCAGCGUGUCUUUAUCCCUGUCUGAAAAGACUGGGUAACCCGUGGAACUUCUUUCGUGAUUGGGAUAGGGGCGGGCUUGACAAUUGUUUCCCCUUGAACGGGAAUUCCCAGUAAGCGCGAGUCAUAAGCUCGCGUUGAUUACGUCCCUGCCCUUUGUACACACCGCCCGUCGCUACUACCGAUUGAAUGAUUUAGUGAGGUCUUCGGACCGAUGUCCGGCGCGGCCUUUCGGUUGCGCCGGUCUGUUGGAAAAAAGAUGACCAAACUUGAUCAUUUACCUUAGGAGGAAUAAAGUCGUAACAAGGUUUCCGUAGGUGAACCUGCGGAAG
rnacentral:rRNA from 1 species